GACGAACGCUGGCGGCGUGCUUAACACAUGCAAGUCGAACGGAAAGGCCCUGCUUUUGUGUGGUUCUCGAGUGGCGAACGGGUGAGUAACACGUGAGUAACCUGCCCUUGACUUUGGGAUAACUUCAGGAAACUGGGGCUAAUACCUGAUAGGAGCUCCUGCUGCAUGGUGGUGGUUGGAAAGUUUCGGCGGUUGGGGAUGUACUCGCGGCUUAUCAGCUUGUUGGUGGGGUAGUGGCUUACCAAGGCUUUGACGGCUAGCCGGCCUGAGAGGGUGACCAGCCACAUUGGGACUGAGAUACGGCGCAGACUCGUACGGGAGGCAGCAGUGGAGAAUAUUGCACAAUGAGGGGAAGCCUGAUGCAGAAGCGCCGCGAGCGGGAAGAAGGCCUUCGGGUUGUAAACCGCUUUCGCAUGUGACGAAGCGUGAGUGACGGUAAUGGGUAAAGAAGCACCGGCUAACUACGUG
rnacentral:rRNA from 1 species